UACGGCCAAAUUACAUUGAAACACCGAUUCUCAUAAGAUCACCGAAGUUAUGCAACGUUGACCGGGUCAGUACCUAGAUGUGUGACCACUUAGGAGUACCAGAUGCCGAA